rnacentral:rRNA from 1 species
UACGUAGGGGGCGAGCGUUGUCCGGAAUUAUUGGGCGUAAAGAGCUCGUAGGCGGUCUGUCGCGUCGGCUGUGAAAACCCGGAGCUCAACUCCGGGCCUGCAGUCGAUACGGGCAGACUGGAGUUCGGCAGGGGAGACUGGAAUUCCUGGUGUAGCGGUGAAAUGCGCAGAUAUCAGGAGGAACACCGGUGGCGAAGGCGGGUCUCUGGGCCGAUACUGACGCUGAGGAGCGAAAGCGUGGGGAGCGAACAGG